rnacentral:rRNA from 1 species
UAGGGAAUCUUCGGCAAUGGACGAAAGUCUGACCGAGCAACGCCGCGUGAGUGAAGAAGGUUUUCGGAUCGUAAAACUCUGUUGUUAGAGAAGAACAAGGACGUUAGUAACUGAACGUCCCCUGACGGUAUCUAACCAGAAAGCCACGGCUAACUACGUGCCAGCAGCCGCGGUAAUACGUAGGUGGCAAGCGUUGUCCGGAUUUAUUGGGCGUAAAGCGAGCGCAGGCGGUUUCUUAAGUCUGGUGUGAAAGCCCCCGGCUCAACCGGGGAGGGUCAUUGGAAACUGGGAGACUUGAGUGCAGAAGAGGAGAGUGGAAUUCCAUGUGUAGCGGUGAAAUGCGUAGAUAUAUGGAGGAACACCAGUGGCGAAGGCGGCUCUCUGGUCUGUAACUGACGCUGAGGAUCGAAAGCGUGGGGAGCAAACAGG